UAUGAGGGACAUUUACAGUGUUAUCUCCCUUCCUAACUUUCACUUUAAAAUCGGACAAGACCAGCCAAGCAAUAUAUAUUGUUUCAUCGAAACCCACCAGGCAGCCAAAUAACAUUAGCUUCAAAGGUUGACGUAAUGUUGAAAUUUGUGGUAACAUUUGCCACUGGGCUUUAUGCUGGAUUAUUCAUUGACCAGAACUACAAGGUGCCCAAUGUGAGUAACCCCCAGAGUAUUUAUGAAGAAGUGAUGAAGCAGAUUGAGAAGUACAAGAAAGGUGACAAGUAGAAGAUGACACACUUCAUCCAAAGCCCAAGUCACAUCAACAUUCCCCGACAGAUCAAGACUUUGCUGUGCAUUUGUUUCAUCUGAAUCAUGAAUGAAUUUCAUAACUACAUACAUCUAGAAUGUAUACCUUAAUGUGAGAUAUGAUCAAGACCAGUACAGUUAAUUCAACUGUAAGGAAAUGUAAGGGAAUGGAUUAAAAGUUCAGGGAAUUCCUGAUAUCAUUUUCUGUAAAUAUCAACCAAUUUUUAAUAGUGUGUAUGUAAUAAUCUAUAAACGAGUCUGUGAACAUUUGAAACAUUAAUAUGCUAAAGUUUGUUUGGUUUGGUAAUAAUCUGUGUUAGUUUUUUUGACCAUAUAUUUCAAUAAAUACAUACAUACCAGUAACCUCUGAAAUUAUGAUGAUAAUAAUAAUAGAGUACAAAAUUAUACCAGGCAAGACAAAGAAGGAAAAAAAAAAUUUGAAAAGGGUCACCUUUAAUAAAGCUUCAAAUAAAACCUGAACAUGCAAUAAUUCUGCAGUGCUACAUGAAACUUCUGUGUAUUUACAUUCAGGGUUAUUCACAGAUACAAUGGAUGGUGAUUAUCAGAAGAACAAAUAUGUGUAAAACAACUCGCAGUCUAAAACCAGAUUAUUGCUAAUGUAUCUAUCAGUGCAAUAGUAUGUUAACACCAAGCCAUAAAAACGAGAUUAGUUAUGUUUAUAAAUAUCUUCUUUGUAUUUCGUAACUUAUGAGUAUUAUACUAUUAUGUGUUUAAAAUGUGCGAGAUUGAAUCAUGGAUCAAUUUGUGUGUAAAGUAUCCCUCAGGGUUCGCUGGUUAUGACGGAGUAAUGUUUUGAUUUACGUUGUGUAACUGGAUGUACUAACAGUAGGAAGCUCAAGCAUCAAGACCUACCAGAUACCUGCAGCUAUGACAAAGCGUGAAUAAAAAUGUCCGAUACA